CAUAGGCAGCAAGGCCGGGAAACAGUAUUGUGUUUGGAAGCCUGCAAUAAGUGUCAGAGUCAAGGAAAUUGAAAUCUUUGAAAUGGAGUCUUCAGGUGCAGAUGCCCCACCUCGCGCCUCUCCAGUUUACGGCCAGGGGAACGCCUAGCAGAUAUGGGCGGUAUCGAGGAAAUAAAAUACCCGAGGAGGAUAAAAACCGACCAGGGGAAGGAAUUCCGAAUUCAAAAAUGGCAUUAGUUCGUAUGGAAAAGACAACAUACUUCCAGGAAGUAGAAAUGAUUGCUUUAAUAAUGCAACUCCAAAAGGCCGAAAAGUCCAUUUUUAAGCUGUAAUGGGUUGACUAACCAACAAACCGUGGAGUAUUUUCCAAGAUAUAUUUUCACAUAUUUAACUUUUGAGAGCGAAGAUAUGGAUGCGGCACUUGAGCAGAAAAAACCCAUUACCAUCAUCAACAUCGGUUAGAGAUGUAGAUAUUGUGAAAAAGCAAUCCCUAAAGAAUUGUACCUAUUUCACACUAGGAGGAUAGAUCGAAAUUAAUAGACAGCAUCAACAUUUAUUAAAAAUCGAAAUAGCGAAAUCAGUAGAUAAUGAAAGCAAUGGCGUUGACUGCAAAAUACUAGAGCCUAUACGGAAAUAUAAUAACAAUGUUGACCCUGAAAUACUUGAUCCGGUAGAUAAUGCAAAUAAUAAUGUUAAUUGUGAACUGGUAAUCUAGUAAAGUAACUACAGAAGAAAUAGAAGAUUUUGAAAGGAAAUUAGAAAUAGUAGAAAAUGUCUUAACCCAUUAACCUAAACGCGUUCAGGGGGCAGGUAGUGUAACAGAAGUUAC